GUGCUCACUUCAGCAGCACAUAUACUAAAAUUGGAACAAUACAGAAAAGAUUAGCAUGGUCCCUGCUCAAGAACGACACAAAAAUUCGUGAAGCAUUCCAUAUUUUU